rnacentral:misc_RNA from 1 species
AAGUCGUAACAAGGUUUCCGUAGGUGAACCUGCGGAAGGAUCAUUAACACUUUGUUAUACCCAAUAUCAACCAAAUGUGAACUGUAUCGUCCCUAUUCACGGUAAAAGGGAGAUUAACUUCGGUUAGUUUCACUCUUAUCGUGCGAUAGACAAUACCCUCCUAGUAGUCAUCAAGACAGCUAGCACUUCGGUGUGAGUUGCCUUGGUGAUGAACGUAUUAACCAAUUUUCACCCUAUAACUUUUAACCUGACUAAUCUUCAUAAACUUACUGACUGCUUCGGCGGUUGAUAAGCUUUACGAAAUAUCGAACAACUCUUAGCAAUGGAUAUCUUGGGUCAUGUAACGAUGAAGAAACGCAGC